ACGCACGCUGGCGGCGUGCCUAAUACAUGCAAGUCGAGCGAAGUUUUUCUGGUGCUUGCACUAGAAAAACUUAGCGGCGAACGGGUGAGUAACACGUAAAGAACCUGCCUCAUAGACUGGGACAACUAUUGGAAACGAUAGCUAAUACCGGAUAACAGCAUUAACUGCAUGGUUGAUGUUUAAAAGUUGGUUUUGCUAACACUAUGAGAUGGCUUUGCGGUGCAUUAGCUAGUUGGUGGGGUAAAGGCCUACCAAGGCGACGAUGCAUAGCCGACCUGCGAGGGUGAUCGGCCACACUGGGACUGAGACACGGCCCAGACUCCUACGGGAGGCAGCAGUAGGGAAUCUUCCGCAAUGGGCGAAAGCCUGACGGAGCAACGCCGCGUGAGUGAAGAAGGAUUUCGGUUCGUAAAGCUCUGUUGUUAGGGAAGAAUGAUUGUGUAGUAACUAUACACAGUAGAGACGGUACCUAACCAGAAAGCCACGGCUAACUACGUG
rnacentral:rRNA from 1 species